rfam:Echinops telfairi cont1.758183, whole genome shotgun sequence.
CCGAGCACAUGGGCCCGCGGUCCGGGCGGGCGCGGGGUGGCCGGGUCGGGCAGAGCCCGCGAGGAGCAGCGUGGCCGGGAUAGUCCCGGAGCUCCGCAACGGAGCCGCGUGGAUUUCCACGCGGAGGGAUGCGGCGGUGACCUGUGGCGACGCGGCUGGAUACACCCCCCC